rnacentral:rRNA from 1 species
GUCGAGAAUCUUUCACAAUGGGGGCAACCCUGAUGGAGCGACGCCGCGUGGAGGAUAAGGUCUUCGGAUUGUAAACUCCUGUCAUGCGUGAACAAGGUUGCUUGGUUAAUACCUGGGCAAAUUGAUGGUAACGCAAGAGGAAGAGACGGCUAACUCUGUGCCAGCAGCCGCGGUAAUACAGAGGUCUCAAGCGUUGUUCGGAAUCACUGGGCGUAAAGGGUGCGUAGGUGGCGUGGUAAGUCAGAUGUGAAAGCCCGGGGCUCAACCUCGGAACUGCAUCCGAUACUGCCAUGCUAGAGUACUGGAGAGGUUGCUAGAAUUCUCGGUGUAGCAGUGAAAUGCGUAGAUAUCGAGAGGAAUACCAAAGGCGUAGGCAGGUCACUGGACAGUUACUGACACUGAGGCACGAAGGCCAGGGGAGCGAACGGGAUUAGAAACCCUUGUAGUCC